UACGGGGGGAGCAAGCGUUGUUCGGAUUUACUGGGCGUAAAGGGCGCGUAGGCGGUCAGCACAAGUCAGUUGUGAAAUCUCCGGGCUUAACUCGGAAAGGUCAACUGAUACUGUGCGACUAGAGUGCGGAAGGGGCAACUGGAAUUCUCGGUGUAGCGGUGAAAUGCGUAGAUAUCGAGAGGAACACCUGCGGCGAAGGCGGGUCUCUGGACAGUUCCUGACGCUGAGGCACGAAGGCCAGGGGAGCAAACGGG
rnacentral:rRNA from 1 species